CUUCUCCUGAAGUUUAUAUUAAACAUUUAUGGCUAUUAGAUGGGUAUGCGUCCUAUUAGUUAGUUGGUAAGGUAACGGCUUACCAAGGCAGCGAUAGGUAGGGGUCCUGAGAGGGAGAUCCCCCACACUGGUACUGAGACACGGACCAGACUCCUACGGGAGGCAGCAGUGAGGAAUAUUGGACAAUGGGCGAGAGCCUGAUCCAGCCAUGCCGCGUGCAGGAAGACUGCCCUAUGGGUUGUAAACUGCUUUUACAGAGGAAGAACCACCCCCACGUGUGGGGGUUUGACGGUACUCUGCGAAUAAGGAUCGGCUAACUCCGUGCCAGCAGCCGCGGUAAUACGGAGGAUCCAAGCGUUAUCCGGAAUCAUUGGGUUUAAAGGGUCCGUAGGCGGGCAGUUAAGUCAGUGGUGAAAGUCUUCCGCUCAACGGGAGAACUGCCAUUGAUACUGAUUGUCUUGAGUUAUUAUGAAGUGGUUAGAAUGAGUAGUGUAGCGGUGAAAUGCAUAGAUAUUACUCAGAAUACCGAUUGCGAAGGCAGAUCACUAAUAAUAUACUGACGCUGAUGGACGAAAGCGUAGGUAGCGAACAGGAUUAGAUACCCUGGUAGUCUACGCCGUAAACGAUGGUUACUAGCUGUUCGGCCCAAUUGAGGGCUGAGUGGUUAAGCGAAAGUGAUAAGUAACCCACCUGGGGAGUACGUUCGCAAGAAUGAAACUCAAAGGAAUUGACGGGGGCCCGCACAAGCGGUGGAGCAUGUGGUUUAAUUCGAUGAUACGCGAGGAACCUUACCAGGGCUUAAAUGUAGUCUGACAGGUCUGGAAACAGACUUUUCUUCGGACAGAUUACAAGGUGCUGCAUGGUUGUCGUCAGCUCGUGCCGUGAGGUGUCAGGUUAAGUCCUAUAACGAGCGCAACCCCUGUGGUUAGUUGCCAGCGAGUAAUGUCGGGAACUCUAGCCAGACUGCCGGUGCAAACCGCGAGGAAGGUGGGGAUGACGUCAAAUCAUCACGGCCCUUACGUCCUGGGCCACACACGUGCUACAAUGGUAGGGACAGAGAGCAGCCACUUCGCGAGAAGGAGCGAAUCUACAAACCCUAUCACAGUUCGGAUCGCAGUCUGCAACUCGACUGCGUGAAGCUGGAAUCGCUAGUAAUCGCAUAUCAGCCAUGAUGCGGUGAAUACGUUCCCGGGCCUUGUACACACCGCCCGUCAAGCCAUGGAAGCCGGGGGUACCUGAAGUCGGUCACCGCAAGGAGCCGCCUAGGGUAAAACUGGUAACUGGGGCUAAGUCGUAACAAGGUAGCCGUACCGGAAGGUGCGGCUGGAACACCUCCUUUCUAGAGCAA
rnacentral:rRNA from 1 species